rnacentral:rRNA from 1 species
GAUGAACGCUGGCGGCGUGCCUAAUACAUGCAAGUCGAGCGAACAGACGAGGAGCUUGCUCCUCUGACGUUAGCGGCGGACGGGUGAGUAACACGUGGAUAACCUACCUAUAAGACUGGGAUAACUUCGGGAAACCGGAGCUAAUACCGGAUAAUAUAUUGAACCGCAUGGUUCAAUAGUGAAUGACGGUUUUGCUGUCACUUAUAGAUGGAUCCGCGCCGCAUUAGCUAGUUGGUAAGGUAACGGCUUACCAAGGCAACGAUGCGUAGCCGACCUGAGAGGGUGAUCGGCCACACUGGAACUGAGACACGGUCCAGACUCCUACGGGAGGCAGCAGUAGGGAAUAUUCCGCAAUGGGCGAAAGCCUGACGGAGCAACGCCGCGUGAGUGAUGAAGGUCUUCGGAUCGUAAAACUCUGUUAUUAGGGAAGAACAAAUGUGUAAGUAACUAUGCACGUCUUGACGGUACCUAAUCAGAAAGCCACGGCUAACUACGUG